rnacentral:rRNA from 1 species
UCCUACGGGGCGCAGCAGUGAGGAAUAUUGGUCAAUGGGCGGGAGCCUGAACCAGCCAAGUCGCGUGAAGGAAGAAGGUACUUAGUAUUGUAAACUUCUUUUGUCGGGGAACAAAGGCGGAGACGCGUCUCCGGAUGAGUGUACCCGAAGAAAAAGCAUCGGCUAACUCCGUGCCAGCAGCCGCGGUAAUACGGAGGAUGCGAGCGUUAUCCGGAUUUAUUGGGUUUAAAGGGAGCGUAGACGGCCAGACAAGUCUGAAGUGAAAAUCCAGCGCUUAACGUUGGAAGUGCUUUGGAAACUGCCGG